UACAGAGGGUGCAAGCGUUGUUCGGAAUUAUUGGGCGUAAAGGGAGUGUAGGCUGUUCGUUAAGUCUUCUGUGAAAUCUACGGGCUUAGCCUGUAACGUGCAGAGGAAACUAGCGGGCUUGAGUGUCGGAGAGGAUAGGGGAAUACCCGGUGUAGAGGUGAAAUUCGUAGAGAUCGGGGUGGAACACCAGUGGCGAAGGCGCCUGUCUGGCUGACAACUGACGCUGAGACUCGAAAGCAUGGGGAGCAAACAGG
rnacentral:rRNA from 1 species